UCCUCUCAACAAGCUUACGGAGCUCCUCGGACUUGACAUGGCUGUUGCAGGCUUCACUGAAGCUCUUACUUUUGCCCUGUGCUCCCAAGAAGAUAUUGCUGAUAAACUUGUCUUGGAUAUCUCUGAAACAAAGGCAGUUCACAUAAGUAAUCCCAAAACUGCUGAGUUCCAGAUGUAGGUGCAAAAAACUACAGGCAUCUCUGUGCUGUUUAUUACAAUAAGAAUCCUGGGUUUGAGAUCAUCCAUGGGCUGCUGGACAGAAUUAUGCAGCUGCUUGAUUGUGCCUCCUAGUGAGGAGAAAGGGGGCUACGUGAUCAAAGCAUCAAUAGGUUCAGCAUUCUUCCCUGGGUGGUGUGCUGAAUUCUUUGCCUGGGGUCAAAGCAUCAGGAAGCUAGGCGUCCUUCAUCCUGAUGUUAUCACCAAAUUUGAGCUGACCAUGCCCUGUUCCUCUCUAGAAAUCAAUAUUGAGCCCUUUUUAUGAAGUUGGUCUCUUCUGUGUGGUUCUGUCCCUCAAUGUCCCUUUCCCUCCUGUGGUGUCCUUCAGCCCUCUUUUACGAGGAACAUCCAUUUGUGCUUUAAUAUUUAAUAAAGAAAAAUGUGCUGUCUGGC